CGGCGAGUGAAGCGGCAACAGCUCAAAUUUGAAAUCUGGCCCCUAGGGCCCGAGUUGUAAUUUGUAGAGGAUGCUUUUGGCGCGGCGCCUUCCGAGUUCCCUGGAACGGGACGCCAUAGAGGGUGAGAGCCCCGUCUGGUUGGAUGCCUAGCCUCUGUAAAGCUCCUUCGACGAGUCGAGUAGUUUGGGAAUGCUGCUCUAAAUGGGAGGUAUAUGUCUUCUAAAGCUAAAUACCGGCCAGAGACCGAUAGCGCACAAGUAGAGUGAUCGAAAGAUGAAAAGCACUUUGAAAAGAGGGUUAAAUAGUACGUGAAAUUGUUGAAAGGGAAGCGUUUGUGACCAGACUUGGGCCCGGUUGAUCAUCCAGCGUUCUCGCUGGUGCACUCUGCCGGCCCAGGCCAGCAUCAGUUCGCGCCGGGGGAUAAAGGUUUCGGGAAUGUGGCUCCUCCGGGAGUGUUAUAGCCCGUUGCGUAAUACCCUGGUGCGGACUGAGGUUCGCGCUCCGCAAGGAUGCUGGCGUAAUGGUCAUCAGCGACCCGUCUUGAAACACGGACCAAGGAGUCGUCCUCGUAUGCGAGUGUUCGGGUGUCAAACCCCUACGCGUAAUGAAAGUGAACGCAGGUGAGAGCUUCGGCGCAUCAUCGACCGAUCCUGAUGUUCUCGGAUGGAUUUGAGUAAGAGCAUACGGGGCCGGACCCGAAAGAAGGUGAACUAUGCCUGUAUAGGGUGAAGCCAGAGGAAACUCUGGUGGAGGCUCGCAGCGGUUCUGACGUGCAAAUCGAUCGUCAAAUAUGGGCAUGGGGGCGAAAGACUAAUC
rnacentral:rRNA from 1 species